ACGUGGGCAAUCUGCCCUGCACACCGGGAUAAUGCCUGGGAAACUGGGUCUAAUACCGGAUAGGACCACUUGGCGCAUGCCUUGUGGUGGAAAGCUUUUGCGGUGUGGGAUGGGCCCGCGGCCUAUCAGCUUGUUGGUGGGGUGACGGCCUACCAAGGCGACGACGGGUAGCCGGCCUGAGAGGGUGUCCGGCCACACUGGGACUGAGAUACGGCCCAGACUCCUACGGGAGGCAGCAGUGGGGAAUAUUGCACAAUGGGCGCAAGCCUGAUGCAGCGACGCCGCGUGGGGGAUGACGGCCUUCGGGUUGUAAACCUCUUUCACCAUCGACGAAGGUCCGGGUUUUCUCG
rnacentral:rRNA from 1 species